rnacentral:rRNA from 1 species
UGCGUAGGUGGUUUGAUAAGUUGGGUGUGAAAGUCCUGAGCUUAACUUGGGGAUUGCGCUUAAUACUGUUGAGCUAGAGUACUGUAGAGGAAGGUGGAAUUUCCAGUGUAGCGGUGAAAUGCGUAGAUAUUGGAAGGAACAUCAGUGGCGAAGGCGACUUUCUGGACAGAUACUGACACUGAGGCACGAAAGCGAUGGGGAAGGACAAACA